GCUGUCUUAGCUCAGUGGUAGAGCACUUCCUUGGUAAGGAAGAGGUCGUGAGUUCAAGUCUCAUAGACAGCUCGA
rnacentral:tRNA from 1 species